CCUACGGGAGGCAGCAGUAGGGAAUCUUCCGCAAUGGACGAAAGUCUGACGGAGCAACGCCGCGUGAACGAUGAAGGCCUUCGGGUCGUAAAGUUCUGUUGUUAGGGAAGAACAAGUGCUAGUUGAAUAAGCUGGCACCUUGACGGUACCUAACCAGAAAGCCACGGCUAACUACGUGCCAGCAGCCGCGGUAAUACGUAGGUGGCAAGCGUUGUCCGGAAUUAUUGGGCGUAAAGCGCGCGCAGGCGGUUUCUUAAGUCUGAUGUGAAAGCCCCCGGCUCAACCGGGGAGGGUCAUUGGAAACUGGGAAACUUGAGUGCAGAAGAGGAAAGUGGAAUUCCAAGUGUAGCGGUGAAAUGCGUAGAGAUUUGGAGGAACACCAGUGGCGAAGGCGACUUUCUGGUCUGUAACUGACGCUGAGGCGCGAAAGCGUGGGGAGCAAACAGGAUUAGAUACCCUGGUAGUCCACGCUGUAAACGAUGAGUGCUAAGUGUUAGAGGGUUUCCGCCCUUUAGUGCUGAAGUUAACGCAUUAAGCNCNCGCGUGGNGAGUCGCAGANAGAAUAAUAGAGUAGAGCGNGAGAGNGCGAGACGACGACGAGGGAGAGG
rnacentral:rRNA from 1 species